AGUCGACGAGCUCUCCUAAAUUGAUUUUAUGCUUGCAUAAAUGAUUUUUAGAUUCGGAGCGAGUGGCGAACUGGUGAGUAACACGUGGGUAACCUGCCCCGAAGCGGGGGAUAACAUUUGGAAACAAAUGCUAAUACCGCAUAAUUAGUUGGAACCGCAUGGUUCCAACUUGAAAGAUGGCUCUGCUAUCACUUUGGGAUGGACCCGCGCCGUAUUAGUUAGUUGGUGAGAUAAAAGCCCACCAAGACGAUGAUACGUAGCCGACCUGAGAGGGUAAUCGGCCACAUUGGGACUGAGACACGGCCCAGACUCCUACGGGAGGCAGCAGUAGGGAAUCUUCCACAAUGGACGAAAGUCUGAUGGAGCAACGCCGCGUGAGUGAUGAAGGUUUUCGGAUCGUAAAACUCUGUUGUUAAAGAAGAACAAGUGUUAGAGUAACUGUUAACACUUUGACGGUAUUUAACCAGAAAGCCACGGCUAACUACGUGCCAGCAGCCGCGGUAAUACGUAGGUGGCAAGCGUUGUCCGGAUUUAUUGGGCGUAAAGCGAGCGCAGGCGGUUUUGUAAGUCUGCUGUGAAAGCCCUCAGCUCAACUGAGGAAGUGCAGUGGAAACUACAAAACUUGAGUACAGAAGAGGAAAGUGGAACUCCAUGUGUAGCGGUGAAAUGCGUAGAUAUAUGGAAGAACACCAGUGGCGAAGGCGGCUUUCUGGUCUGUUACUGACGCUGAGGCUCGAAAGCAUGGGUAGCGAACAGGAUUAGAUACCCUGGUAGUCCAUGCCGUAAACGAUGAAUACUAGGUGUUGGAGGGUUUCCGCCCUUCAGUGCCGCAGCUAACGCAUUAAGUAUUCCGCCUGGGGAGUACGACCGCAAGGUUGAAACUCAAAGGAAUUGACGGGGGCCCGCACAAGUGGUGGAGCAUGUGGUUUAAUUCGAUGCUACGCGAAGAACCUUACCAGCUCUUGACAUCUUCUGCCAACCCAAGAGAUUGGGCGUUCCCUUCGGGGACAGAAUGACAGGUGGUGCAUGGUUGUCGUCAGCUCGUGUCGUGAGAUGUUGGGUUAAGUCCCGCAACGAGCGCAACCCUUAUUAUUAGUUGCCAGCAUUUAGUUGGGCACUCUAGUGAGACUGCCGGUGAUAAACCGGAGGAAGGUGGGGACGACGUCAAAUCAUCAUGCCCCUUAUGAGCUGGGCUACACACGUGCUACAAUGGAUGGUACAACGAGUCGCGAAACCGCGAGGUCAAGCUAAUCUCUUAAAGCCAUUCUCAGUUCGGAUUGCAGGCUGCAACUCGCCUGCAUGAAGUUGGAAUCACUAGUAAUCGUGAU
rnacentral:rRNA from 2 species